GUACUCGCUUUGGCAGCACAUAUACUAAAAUUGGAAGGAUACAGAGAAGAUUAUCAUAGCCUCUGCACAAGGAUGACACGCAAAUUUGUGAAGUGCUCCAUAUUUUU
ensembl:snRNA U6 U6 spliceosomal RNA